UAAUCAAUAGAUCGCCAAGCUCCAAGCCA
rnacentral:piRNA from 1 species